GGCUGCGAGAUUACGCCACCGCCACCCAGCGCGCCCAGCCCGUGGGUUUCGCUGCUCGGCGUCCCCGGAGCCACCGCCCUCCCGCAGGCAGCGCGCGUGCGCACCUUCCUGCCGGCCUCCGCCCGCGCAGGUGUGGUGCCCACCAGCCCAGGCUCGCUGAUCCUUCCGCCCGGCCUAUGGCUCCACCGCAGCGUCAGUCAGGCCGGGGCCCGUCUACCUGCGAAGGCACUGGGCCUGUCAGGGGCUUGUCGGUGGCGCGGAAGGCCGGCUGCUGAGAAGCCGAGCAGACCGCCUCGGGCCCGGCACCCUGGCUGUCCCGGCCCCGCCACGUCCAAGGCUCCCGCCCCCGGGAGGAAGCCGCGCGAGCACUCUGGGGGCGGGGAGAGAAAGCUGAAAGGAAGGAGGUACCACCAGGCACUCUCUCGCGAGAGGGCGGGAGAGCCGCUUCGACGCUGGCGUGGGCCCGACGGGGACGUGUGAGGUCUCCGGAAGGUCCGGCGCUGGCCUUGGCUUCCCGUUUGGGCUCCCUGGACUUGGAAGUGGAGGCGGGUCCCCUCGGCUUGCAGCUGGGGGCCGAUUCCGCGUUCCCUGCUCCCUCCGGACUCUCGGGAUGGCAGGAGAUGAGACAGCGACCGGGGCUGAGGGGCGCUAGGCGCCGCCAGAAGCCCGCGCCUUGGGCCUGGGAAACUCUUAGAGGCGAGCUCCGGCCGCGCGGAACUUGGGUCUUGGCAGGAGCAGGGCUGUCAGUGAGCAGGCGGGAGUUCAAGGCCGCCUGCCGCCUUCGCGCGGAGAAUUUCAUUAGGCGCCGAAGCAAUGUUCCGAUAUCCGCGGGAUUCAGGUGCCCAAGGCCCGCGUCCAGAAGAUCACAGGGGGGCCGCCUGGUGGCAUUGAACCCAGGAGCUGGUACUAGAUGGCCUCUCUCAUGAGAGUAUAUAACCUACUGUGCCCAAGUUACGUCCUCGUGUCUGGGUGACGAUGAUGUAGCCGUUGAAUAUUACGGAGCACACAGAGUUGUCUUUAGCCAUAUAUCUCAGGAAAAUAUUAAUAGACGAGAUCACCCAGCCUUAAAGAGGAUUCUCCGGACCACUGAGAGUUUUCCGAGGAAACCUACCAUACACUGAGUCAUAGAAUGGUUCCAAAAUGUCCAAAAAUAUUGCUUUUUGUGAGGAGUUUUGUUUUCUGAUAACAAGACUGGAGUUUGGGGGUGUUUUGUUUUCUGUUUGAGCGCAUAGUUUGCAAAUUCAAGGACUAUGGCGAGGAAGACAUGGCAUGCCUUAAAUAGUAUGAGGGGAACAACAGAGAACCAAAAGCCCUAGGAAAGGAAAUAAACUGCUCAUUUCAGUCCAUAAAAUGAAAAUGUGGUCAGAGCAAAUUAGUAGUAAAAGCUGAGUAUGCCGAGCUGCAGCAAUUUGCAAAAGCCUUUAAUAGACAAUCAUUUCUGUUGCGGUAGAAAAACUUUAUACAGUUACUGAUAUACCAAGUUAUGUUAGCCAGGGGAAAGAAGGUUACGCACCUGGUUGAAUGUGUGUUCCAGAUAAAUCAUCCCAGAGACUUUUAGAGAGCCUUGGAAAUAUUCCUCUAAUCUACUCUACUUAUCCCAUUUAAAGGAUAGCAUCUGAAGAUUUAAUAACAAAAAACAGUUGAAGAAUUCAAAGCUGGAUAAUCAGAACCUCCAGGUUUGACUCUUGAAGAAGAUGCUACUGUUGGGAAGAGUGGAUGGAUUAUGCAGCCCUGUUUUCUGAGAAUUCAUUUGUUCUUGGAGUUUUUCACUGCUUGCCGCCACUACCACUUGGCCUCAAAGGACAAGCAUGUAACCCUUCCUUUCCUUCAUAUUUUACUGCACAGCUGAGAAGAGACUGAAUUUGGAUCCUUUAGUGGUACAACUGGAAUGUUACAUAGUUUAGAGUAAGAUGGCUUAUUUAAAAGUAUUUUUCUAAGAUGGGGGGUGUUGGGAUGUCCCUGUAGAUUAGUUCCAGAAUGGGGUGUCUGUAUAUACUGUAUUAAUAGGCAUGUUGACUCUUGUAAAGGGACAUUAGUAGCUGCUGCAGGUCCUGUUUGGAAAACUCAUGCACAAUUCCCGGUUUUUUGUAAAGUGUCAGUGCGGGAGACAUUUGACUCUUGUGUUUGUAUCUCCUUUUUAUGAUUGCUGUACUGACCCAUGUCUUUUUGAGGAAGGGGUGAAAAGAGAUUUGAAAUAAAAAUGUUUAGAAAUUUAAAAAAAAAAGUAUUUUUCUAAUAGGAGAUAGAAACUGGAUAUUAACAAAAUAAGGGUACUCUUAUGUACAAAAUACAACUACUUACGGUCAACUUUUAUUUAUUAAGAGAUGCCACCACCCUGUGGCAGAAGCCAUUUUUUAACUGGUCUUAACCAAGGAGUAGCUCCUAGAAAACUUCACUGUUUAAGUUCAGGCCUGAGUACAAAGGACAAAAUAGAGUUUACCUGCUUGCCUUUAUUGGCACUACUGACAUUUUGCACCAGAUAAUUCUUUUUUUGUAAAUAUCUGAAGUAUGGUUGACUUAUUAUGUUAGUUUCAAGUAUACAGCAUAGUGAUUCAGUACUUUGGCAGAUUAAACUCCAUUAUAGGUUAUUACAAGAUAAUGGCUAUAAUUCACUGUGCUGUACAGUAUAUCCUUACUGUUUAUUUUAUGAACAUAGUAGUUUGUCCCUAACUUGUCCCUCUAUCUUUUGGUGACCACAGGUUUGUUUCCUAUAUCUGUGAGUCUGUUUCUGUUUUGGAUAUACAGUCAGUUGUAUUAUUUGUUAGAUUCCACAUGUAAGUGAUAUCAAGCAGUAUUUGUCAGUAAGCCAGACAAUUCCUUGUUGUGGGCAGCUGUCCUGUGCAUUAUAAGACGUUUAGUGGCAUACAUGGCUUCUACCCACUAUCUGCCAGGAGUACCCCACCCCUACUUGGAACAACCCAAAUCAACUCUAGACAUGGCCAAAUGUCCCUGAGGGGUGUUAUGUCCCUUUCUCACUUUCACUGAGAAUUAUUGGCCUAUAUAAGGGAUUUUCUGCUAAUUCUGGUCUCCUGUCCAUCCCAUUUGACAGCAGGAAUCAUCUCUCCCUUAAAGACAGAAUUCCAGUUCCCCAGAGAAGUAUAGCUUUGGUCUUGUUGGCCUCCACCAGAUUACCAAAUCACUGGUUAAUAGUAACCCCAAAUAUUUUAUGAGAUACUACAUUAUAAAUAACAAGGGCUUUAGUUUUAGCAUCUAAGUAGCAAAUUACCAUCAACAUUUUAUAGGUAAAUUUCAGAAUUCUACGUUUCAGAAUUCUUCAAGUUACAUCUUUAUAAGCUGGAUCAUUGAGGAUUUAUGAAAUUUAACUAUUCUGUAUAUCUCCACUGUUCUUGUGGUUGGGGCAGGGGCAAAGACUGUAGAAAUUCUAGAUGUGUUCAAGUGUGGAGGCGGUCAAGGAGCUAGGAUGGAAGGCCUUCUUGUAGUGGACAAUAAGUUAAAGGACAUAAUCUGACUUCGGUAUUGACCAUCUGGUGAUAUCCAUGUGUGGAGUCUUCUCUUGUGUUGUUGGAAGAGGGUAUUUGCUACGACCAGUGCAUUCUCUUGGCAGAACUCUACUAGCCUUUGCCCUGCUUCAUUCUGUACUCCAAAGCCAAAUUUGCCUGUUACUCCAGAAAGGAUGAAAACAGGUACUUGCUGUUUUAAGAAUCACAACAUAACCAAAGCAGGAUAAAUAAAAAGAAAUGCAUAAUGACACAUAGUAAAUGAAUGAAGAACUCUUAAGACUUUAAAAGCAGCCAAAGGACAGACCACUAGCAGAAGAACAAUUAAAAUGAC
ensembl:lncRNA